rnacentral:rRNA from 1 species
AAACCAACAGGGAUUGCCUCAGUAACGGCGAGUGAAGCGGCAAGAGCUCAAAUUUGAAAUCUAGUACCUUUGGUGCUCGAGUUGUAAUUUGAAGAAGGUAAUCUUGGAUUUGGCCUUUGUCUAUGUUCCUUGGAACAGGACGUCACAGAGGGUGAGAAUCCCGUGCGAUGAGGUGUCCAUUUCUAUGUAAGAUGCUUUCGAAGAGUCGAGUUGUUUGGGAAUGCAGCUCUAAGUGGGUGGUAAAUUCCAUCUAAAGCUAAAUAUUGGCGAGAGACCGAUAGCGAACAAGUACAGUGAUGGAAAGAUGAAAAGAACUUUGAAAAGAGAGUGAAAAAGUACGUGAAAUUGUUGAAAGGGAAGGGUAUUAGAUCAGACUUGGUAUUUAGCUAUCAUUGCUCCUUGUGGGUGGUGCUCUAGCUUUUUACUGGGCCAACAUCAGUUUUGGUGGCAAGAUAAUGGCAUUUGAAUGUGGCUCCUCGGAGUGUUAUAGCUUUUGUUGAUAUUGCCUACCGGGACUGAGGUCUGCGGCUUUGCCUAGGAUGUUGGCGUAAUGAUCCAAUACCGC